rnacentral:rRNA from 1 species
UACGGAGGGAGCUAGCGUUGUUCGGAAUUACUGGGCGUAAAGCGCACGUAGGCGGCUUUGUAAGUUAGAGGUGAAAGCCCGGGGCUUAACUCCGGAACUGCCUUUAAGACUGCAUCGCUUGAAUCCGGGAGAGGUGAGUGGAAUUCCGAGUGUAGAGGUGAAAUUCGUAGAUAUUCGGAAGAACACCAGUGGCGAAGGCGGCUCACUGGACCGGUAUUGACGCUGAGGUGCGAAAGCGUGGGGAGCAAACAGG